AGAUCUGAACCAUUGUAAAGGUUGCAGUUCAAGGGCCUGAGGUGGAAGCAGAAUUUGUGAGGAUUACUACUGCUCCACUUGUUCCAAGGCUUUUUGCACAACUUGACCAAUACACUGACCAGCUCAUAAAAGUCUUCAAGAAAAAAGGAGGCGCUGCAGUGAAGAAAAUUAGACAAACUUUGGCCCCAGCCACACAGAAGCAAACUAUUGAAAAGGGGAGGGAGUGUGUCCUCAGGGCACUACCUUUUUACCUGAAUGAAGACCCAAGCAUCCUCUUCAAAGAAUAAUUGCUACAGCUACAGCUGUUCACAGGGAGCUGGAACAAAUUACCCUUGCUAUCUUUACCAUCGAAAGAGCUG
ensembl:lncRNA